GGUCAAUUCGCGGCGUAGCCGCUGCCCCAACUCCUGCCCCAUUCUGGUCCCGCCCCUCUCCCGCCUUUUCGCUGGGAAGGGUAUCACCUUUCUCUGGCCCCGCCCCUGACGGUUCCGGGCCCCGCGAAGCUUAGUCCCUUCUUUGUCAAGCCAGGACCCGCCCACGGUCUAUUCAUAGGGUCCCAAACCACUUUGGCCACAACACCCCCAGACUGGUCCGAAGCCUCGUGAGUUCGCCCUGGUCGUUGCACUCCAGCCUGUCGCUGUGCAGACCUGGCUUAGAGGACCCCUAAGGCUGAGGGGUCACUUCCAGAACUGAGUCCGGUCCGCAGGUUCUGCUACGCUCCAGCCAGCCCCUAACUGGUCCCCAGAAGCGGCGCUGCUACAGGGACCAGGAGCUGCUGCGAACUGCGCUGGCGGGGGCUCGUCCUUGGGCGCGGGGCUUCAUCAUGGACACGCUCUCGGCCCAGGCCGCGAAACAAGCCCGCGUGACUGGCGGAGGCACAGAGACCAAGGCCGCUUAACCUGGCUGGUUGCACUGGUCCCUGGAGAGCACUGAGCACAGGGGCUGCCACAGUGGCCGGCUCAGACAUGGCAGAGAUCAGCAGAGAAUGGGCAAUCAGGCUCCCCUGAGAUGAGCAGCAGCGCAGAGGAGGUGCCCCUCUCUUACUACACCAACUUCAGAUGGGCUCUUUACAGGAUUCUGUGUCUCCC
rnacentral:lncRNA from 1 species